rnacentral:rRNA from 1 species
GGCCACUGCUAUUGGGAUCCGACUAAGCCAUGCGAGUCGAGAGGGUUCGGCCCUCGGCAGACUGCUCAGUAACACGUGGAUAAUCUACCCUUAGGUGGAGGAUACUCUCGGGAAACUGAGAAUAAUACUCCAUAGAUCCAGGAUGCUGGAAUGCACCUAGAUUGAAAGUUCCGGCGCCUAAGGAUGAGUCUGCGGACUAUCAGGUAGUAGUCAGGGUAAAGACCUGACUAGCCUACGACGGAUACGGGUUGUGAGAGCAAUAGCCCGGAGACGAUAUCUGAGACACGAUAUCGGGCCCUACGGGGCGCAGCAGGCGCGAAAUCUUCACAAUGUGCGAAAGCACGAUGAGGGGAUCCCAAGUGUUGGUUCGUAAGAAUCAUCUGUUUCUUUGUCUAAAAAACAGAGAGAGUAAGAGCUGGGUAAGACGGGUGCCAGCCGCCGCGGUAAUACCUGCAGCUCAAGUGGUGGCCGCUAUUAUUGGGCCUAAAACGUCCGUAGCCGGUUUAGUAAAUGCUUGGGUAAAUUGUGUAGCUCAACUAUACGAAUACCGAGUAGACUGCUGAACUUGGGACCGGGAGAGGCUAGAGGUACUCCUAGGGUAGAGGUGAAAUUCUGUAAUCCUAGGGGGACCACCAGUGGCGAAGGCGUCUAGCCAGAACGGGUCUGACGGUGAGGGACGAAGCCCUGGGGCGCAAACCGGAUUAGAUACCCGGGUAGUCCAGGGUGUAAACGCUGCUCGCUUGAUGUUAGUUGGGCUCCGAGCCCAACUAGUGUCGGAGAGAAGUUGUUAAGCGAGCUGCCUGGGAAGUACGGUCGCAAGGCUGAAACUUAAAGGAAUUGGCGGGGGAGCACAGCAACGGGUGGAGCGUGCGGUUU